CUCAUAAAUUUCGGCCGAGCUUCUGCUUUAAUUUCGAUGUUUUUAACAAACCUCCAUAUCUUAGUUUAAGAAACACACUCCAAGUGGUUGGCUUUUCUUGUAGAUGGCCUACCGCAAUUAGAAUUUUAACUGUAACUGGACAAGAAUUAAACCCAUGAUCCUCUACAGGGUAGUACGCAGUGUUAACCACACGCCUAAUGUGGCUGCAAAAAAAAAGAAAAACAAAAGAACAACAGUAACCAAUGGCAAAAUUGUUCUCUCUCUGAGCGAAUUUUUUUCGCUUUUUGGUUUACCGAACGCGGCUCAGUAAAAAUUAGUAGCAGUCGUUACUGCCCAUCAAUGGAAAUUAAACCUUUUAGGUCCAUAUAUCUUUCAAUACCUCUAUAAGAAAAUUUCUAAACUGUCGGUGUCACGUUGUCUCAUUCGCAAAAUUUUCUUAGCUGCAUGCAGAAAUACAUACAUUACACUUAUAUGCAUGUAUGUAAAUAAAUGUUGGAAUAUUCAACAGCAUAUACAUGCAUAAGUACAUAUAUCGAAAGUAAAUUCAUGCAUACAUAUUGGUACUAGUAGGAAAGAUAAAACUGGAAGUUUCCACGUAAUGCAAGCUAUGCUGGCGAACAUCACUUCAACAACGAGAACUUAGGGGCAGCUGGUAUGCACUUGCGUAUGUAGGUAAAGCAAUGUUUAGCAAUAUUCGGACAAGAAGCAACAAUAUUUCAGCAAGAUCUUAUUUUAAAUAAAUUGUCUACAAGUUAUUCAAAUAAAACUGUGUGAAGCUUCCCCGACGCAUAUACUUUCAAACUUGACCAAACCGAUUAUAUCUGGUUUUGAAAUCAACUAGCCUCAAUAAAUUAGCUCAACCUCAAAUAAUGGUGUUCAACACAACAAAGCUGCUAUCGCACUCAACAGCUGGAGAAAAGAUAAAAACAACUGAGUAACUGAGUCAAAAACUCAGACAAGCAACAAAAAUGGAAAUGCACCCAAAACCGACUUAGCAUAUUUUACAAACAUAUGUACACACCCAAGCAUUGAAAUAAAAAAAAAUCAUGUCUUUGCCGACUAUCGCAACUACGCAUGUGGAAACACUAAAUGUCUCAUGGUUCAUUCAUCUUUCAGGCAGCCAUAGCUCUGAACUAUUUUUAAUUUGCUGGUUUUGCAGCACUAAACACAAAAAGUAUAUAACUCAACGGGAGACAUAUUGGUUGCAAUUUCAGCAUGGCAUGCUAAAUUUCCUCUAACCCAAAUCAAGUGAAGUUGCACCAAGUACUUUGCAAACUUCUAGAUAUACAGAUGCGUGCAAUGCGAGCUUUCUCCAAAAUGAUUUCGGAUCAAUCGAUUUUUCACAAUAAAAAAAUUCACUUUUUCACUGUGUCCAGUACAUGAACAUGUUGAAAA